AUGGCCAGAACCAUGACCAAUGAGACAAAUGUUGCUAAGAUCUUCUGGGAAGAGGCAAUAAAUACAGCGUGCUACAUUCAGAAUAGAAUCUCUAUAAGACCUAUUCUGGAAAAGACUCCAUAUGAAUUGUGGAAGAACAGAAAGCCCAACAUUUCAUAUUUUCAUCCCUUUGGAUGUACUUGUUUUAUUUUAAAUACAAAAAAUUAUUUGAACAAAUUUGACUCUAAAGCACAGAAGUGUAUUAUGUUAGGAUACUAUGAACGCUCAAGAGGGUACAUAGUAUACAAUACAAAAACACAUAUUAUGGAAGAAUCAAUCAGUGUUCGUUUUGAUGAUAAGCUUGACUCUGAAAAGUCAAAGCAGAAUGAAGUCUUUGCAGGUAUG